ensembl:lncRNA
CUUACUUACAGGCCCUUCCCAACAAUGCAGAGAAAAAAAAUAGAAAUUAUAGAAAAAAUAAUAACACAAUGAAUAACUGAGUCGAUGUGUCUGGGUACGAGGUAAUUGAGGUAGAGGUGUACAUAUAGGUAGGGAUAAAGUGACUAGGCAAUAUGAUAGGAAUUAGACAGUAGCAGCAGUGUAUGUGAGGAGUCAAAAGAGCAAAAAGAGUCUGUCAGAUAGUUGGUAGCAGAGAGAACCAUUUUUGAAUUGGGUGGCUGGAGUCUUUGACCAUUUUUAGGGCCUUCCAUAAGAAUUCAUAGUUGUGGAAUGGGAAGGUCACAAACCUACGUAGACAAGGAGUGUGGCGGUCAUAUGACUUCAUAAGCUAGUGUUGUGAAUGAGGUCAUCAGUUGUCAUAUAGGAGCAGUGUUGAGAUUACUGCAGAGCGGCUAUGAGCAUGGUUGAGAGUUGUUUAUGUUAAAGCAAAAGAUGGUGGCCACUGGCCAGAACAAAAUCUGCAAUGCUAGGUGGUUUGGAGGUUAUAAGCCUGGAUUUCACAAGUCUGCAUAGGCAAAGAGCAUGGCUUUUAUAAUCAUGUAUAGCUGGGGGCUGUUGAGGUUAUUAUGUCUAGGUCUUCAUGCUCCCGAAUGGCACAGCGGUCUAAGGCACUGCGUCACAGUGUCACUACAUACCCUGGUUCGAUUCCAGGCUCUAUCACAACCGGCUGUGAUUGGGAGUCCCAUAGCGCGGUGCACAAUUGGCCCAGUGUCGUCUGGGUUAGGGUAGGCUGUCAUUGUAAAUAAGAAUUUGUUCUUAACUGACUUGCCUAGUUAAAUGUGAUAGUCUGUUUGUUGGCCCCCUUUCUCCUCUUGUGAGGUCUGCUAUGCUGCAGUGUGUGUGUGUGUGUGUGUGUGUGUGUGUGUGUGUGUGUGUGUGUGUGUGUGUGCAGGCAAGAGAAAUGUGGCUCAGGUGUGAUUUUAGGUGGAAUGCUUUGAUGAUUGAGGCCCUUGAUCCGAGCGUUUUUCAGGGUUCUCCGUCCAGUGUUUGUGUGUCUGUGUUCUACUUUGAGAGUGACCAAGAGCUCACAGAAGCCCAGAGAGAGAGCAGUGUAAACUCAGCACCUCUCAUUACCAGCUUGUUUGCAGUAAAGUUCUCAGACACACACUGCCACUCAGUCUGCUACUGUAGAAGCUAACGUUAACCCUUUCUUCACUGUAUCCCACAACCUCCUAUAUCACACUACUCUGUUUACAGUCUUCUGUGGGUGGAGUCAUAACCUUGCUGUGACUUUGACACCUUCCACGGAGACAGGGAAUGCACUAUAAAAGGGCGGGACCUUUGAUACGGUAUACCAUGUUAACAUUUACAGGUCACACUGCCCUCAGUUCGUUACACAUUGUAUUUGAUUUAGGACCCUGAAGGCACCUCAUAAGGGACACAUGGAAUUACAACACAUGCAUAACACAUUACAGACGUGAUACUUUUAGCAGGAGAGGUUUUGGACCUAUGAGUACAGCGGGAAUGGUCCGUCUUGAAGAGUGAGGAAUGCUACUGUAUGGAAAUAGAACUGAAAGGCAG